AUGGCCGGAUCUCGGGACUGGGCGGGCCUCGCGGCAGGGCCGGCGGGGAUCAUCGCCGACCGCGUCCUGUCCUACGACGUCGCUGAUUACGUCCGUUUCCGCGCCGUGUGCUGCCCCUGGCGGCAGAGCUCGGCUGAUCCACACGCGCACGGAGUGAUGGACCGCCGGUUCCACCCCUGGCGGUGGACGAUGCUCCGGGAGGAACACGCCGCGCCCAGUCGCCGCUCCUUCCUCAACACCUCCACCGGCGAGUGCAUCCAGGUGGACAUCCCCGAGCUCCUGGACCACGACGUGCUCGCGGUCACCGCCGAGGGCCUCCUCGUUCUGCUCCACAGGCCUCAGUGCACCGAUGUCCGCCUGCUCAACCCGCUCACCCGCCAACUCCUUGCAGAUCUCCCGCCGAUCACCACGCUGCUACCUCCCCUACCCGGAAUAGGCAUUUUCAAUUAUUUUUUCGACAUCUUCAGACAGUGCACGGCCUGGGGCUCCGGCAUCGCCGGUGAUGAUUCAACAGUGGUGCUCAGCUUCAAUCGGCUCGGCAUGCUUGGCACGGCCAAGCCCGGCGACGACCACUGGACGCCAGUCUACUACGACGGUUAUUCUCUGGGUACAGCACCCGUGAUGCUGGCAGGCCGCUUCUAUUGUGUUACGGUAAAGGGUGUCAUGGUGUUGGAAAUGGGUGGAGAUGAGCCACCUCGGUUGGUGGUCGCUGCCAACCUGAAUAUGCCUGCCCGGCCAUUUGAGGAUUGCAUGCACCUGGUGAACAAUUGUGGGGAGCUAUUGCUGAUCCACCGUCAAAGCGUGACGCAGCCAUCCGGGAGUAGUAUUUGGAGGGAGAGGUACGACACAUACCGAGUGGAUUUGGACAAUGAGGGGCUAUUCCGAGUCAAGAGCUUGGGCGGCGGCACAGGGCGUGCGGUGUUCAUGGGCGCGGAUGGCUCUUUGUCGGUGUCUCUAGAUGUUUUCCCCUCCGGCUCAAUUAGUGCUGACACAAUCUACUUGAGCUUUGACUUUGGCGAGAGGGAGUUUUUAAACAUUGGAUCAUAUCAUCUCAGGUUUGGAUGCGUGGGACGUGCUAGCAGACGCUGGGGUGGCUUGGUGCCAUGCCCCCAUACCCUUGUUGACUGCCUGUGUUUAGCCAAUACUGUCAAGUAUACUGUUUGA
rnacentral:rRNA from 1 species